AGCACAGCACGUCGAAGCUGACCCACACGAGGCACAGCUCCCGGCCCAGCCGCCACCGCCGCCCGGCCGAAAGCUCCUUCACCAGGCUCAGCGGCAUCACCAGCGCCGCCACCAGCGCGUCCGACACCGCCGUGGAGGCCACGAGGUUGUGGGGCACCCGGUGGAAGGCCUUCACCCGCAGGAUGGUCGCCAGCACCAGCAGGUUCCAGAGGAAGGUGGCCACGGUCAUAUGGUGCUGUUGAGAAAUAUCCAAAGGGAUUAGAAGAAAUUGAGCAUCUGUAAACAAGACCAAAGAAGAUUGAAAAGUCCUAUGAAAGCUUCAUACAGUUUUGCUACAGAUCAUCUGCAAUAGGGCUUAGUACUGUGAAUGCAGUUCUUAAGCUGGAUGACACAGAUAUAGCAAAGUGAAUGUGUUUCUAGACAGCACCCCAAUUUUCCAUUUGUCUUCCCUUCUCUUAAUGGCAUCUUUACCUCUCCUCACAACUCCAUAUCAAAAGUUUAUCGUGCUGGCUGAGAAAAAGAAAAUGUAAUCUCUUCCCCACAUGGCUGUGCAAUAAAGAGAUUUGACAGAAGCAACAUCAUGGUAUUUAUGAUUUUGAUGGAAGAAAGCAGAUUUUUUAGAAGCUAAGAGCAUUCCAGUUCAGGAGGCUGGGUUCCCAUUGUCAGAGCUCAACAUCAUCUAUAAAUCUA